rnacentral:lncRNA from 1 species
ACUGAGCAGAUGCAGUGGCAUUUACCCGUGGUUCCUGCUAGUGAGGUUAAGGUGGGAGAAUUAUCUGAGCCUGGGGGUUGAAUCCUAGGAAACGUAAUGAAACCCUGUUCUAACCCACAAAAUGAAGCCCAGGGUGAGCAAGGUUGGAAACACAACAAGAAAAUGCCACCAAGGUGCUUGUGAGAUGCUGUCCAGAACCUGGGCCAUCAUGGCUCAUCAGGGAGGCUGAUGUGGUAUGGCCUUAUUAGGGGGUGGGCUUUGAGACUCUCCUCUUAGCUACCUGGAAGACAUACUGCUCUUGACUGCCUUUGGAUCAAGAUGUAGAACUCUCAGCUCUCCUGGACCAUGCCUGCUCAGAUACUGUCAUGCUUCCUGCCAUGAUGAUAAAUGGGUUGAACCUUAGAAUCUGUAAGGUAGCCCUAAUUCAAUGUUGUCCUUGUAAGAGUUGCCUUGGUCAUAGUGUCUCUUCACACUUAGUUAGGAAACCCUAAGACUCGUGUGUGUGUGUGUGUGUGCAGGUGCAUCUGAGCCAUAGCGUGCAUGUGCAAGUGGAAAUCAGGUGACAACUCUUGAGAGAGUCUCCGGGUACCUUGUAUGAUCUGGGAUUAAACUCUGGUCACCUAGAGAUAUGCAGGGGACCUGUUCCAGCUCCUGCAUGUUCCCUGGUUGGUAGCGUAGCUUCUCUGAGCCCCAUGGUCCCAGGUUAGUUGACUC